rnacentral:sRNA from 1 species
ACAGCAUACACCAUCCCCAUCAUGGCCUUCGCCUUCGUCUGCCACCCCGAGGUGCUGCCCAUCUAUACUGAGCUCAAGGACCCCUCCAAGAGGAAGAUGCAGCACAUCUCCAACCUGUCCAUCGCUGUCAUGUACAUCAUGUACUUCCUGGCUGCCCUCUUCGGCUACCUCACCUUCUACAGUACGGUGGCACCGGUGGGCAGAGGCCUAGGCUAGGCUGGGGGGAAGGGGCUGGUUGUGGCCAUGGUGCCCUCCAUACCGAGGCGUGUGGUGCCUGGCUGUGCCUUGCCGCUGUGGAGGUGAGUCUGCAUGCCAAUCCCCACAGUGUUGGGGUCCUCUAGGCAGCUCAGAUCCCACCUCCUUCCUGGGGCCACCUACUGACCACCCUCCCUGCCUGCCACAGACGGGGUGGAGUCGGAGCUGCUGCACACCUACAGCAAGGUGGACCCGUUUGACGUCCUGAUCCUGUGUGUGCGCGUGGCCGUGCUGAC